CCAGUCAUAUGCUUGUCUCAAAGAUUAAGCCAUGCAUGUCUGAGUACAGACCGAUCUAAGGUGAAACCGCGAAUGGCUCAUUAAAUCAGUCAUAAUUCCUUGGGUAGUGAAAAACUUUCCUCGGAUAACUGUGGAAAAUCCAGAGCUAAUACGUGCAACUGAGCUCCGACCUCGGCGCAAGCCGUGGGAAGAGCGCAUUUAUUAGAUUCAAAACUGACCGGCGUACUCCUUCGGGAUACGCCGUUUGUCAAAUGUUUGAUGACUCCGGAUAACUAAGCCGAGCGCUACGGUCUUCAGUACCGGCGCCGUAUCUUUCAAGUGUCUGCCUUAUCAGCUUUCGAUUGUAGGUUAAACGCCUACAAUGGCUGUAACGGGUAACGGGGAAUCAGGGUUCGAUUCCGGAGAGGGAGCCUGAGAAACGGCUACCACAUCUAAGGAAGGCAGCAGGCACGCAAAUUACCCACUCCUAGCCCAGGGAGGUAGUGACGAAAAAUAACGAUGCGAGACUCUUCCGAGGCCUCGCAAUCGGAAUGAGUCUAUUAUAAAUGUAUGGACGAGGAUCCAUUGGAGGGCAAGUCUGGUGCCAGCAGCCGCGGUAAUUCCAGCUCCAAUAGCGUAUAUUAAAGUUGCUGCGGUUAAAAAGCUCGUAGUUGGACCUACUAGACCAUUUCGUGGGCGAGUCGCUCUUUGUAUUAGAGUCUCGCGCGGUUCCUUGAUGAAGUAGCGCGAUAGUUGGGGGUUUGUGUUUGUGUGGGCGAGUGUAUACUCUUUCCUUCGGGUGAGGUGUUGCGCUUCGUUUCUACUACUGCACUUCUUCCUCUUCGCGUUGCCAGUCUCGUGGACGGCGAGAAGCUGACAUCGGGUAUAGCUCGUCCGCGUUUGGUACAAUUAAAAUUUUGUCGGCUCGCUCGGAGUGCUCUUUACCGAGUGUUCCAGGGUGGCCGACACGUUCACUUUGAAAAAAUUAGAGUGCUUAAAGCGAGCCUAUCAAAGGGCCCGAAUGUCUGUGCAUGGAAUGAAGUAACAGGACCUCGAUUCUGUUGUUUUUGUCGGUUUUAAUGAACCGAGGUAAUGAUUAAAAGGGACAGACGGUGGCAUUAGUAUUGCGACGCUAGAGGUGAAAUUCUUGGACCGUCGCAAGACUAACUACUGCGAAAGCAUUUGCCGAGCAUGUUUUCAUUAAUCAAGAACGAAAGUUAGAGGAUCGAAGGCGAUCAGAUACCGCCCUAGUUCUAACCCUAAACUAUGCUAACUAGCGAUCCGCCGGAGUCAUUCCCACGACCCGGCGGGAAGCCCCAGGGAAACCAAAGUCUUUGAGUUCCGGGGGAAGUAUGGUUGCAAAGCUGAAACUUAAAGGAAUUGACGGAAGGGCACCACCAGGAGUGGAGCCUGCGGCUUAAUUUGACUCAACACGGGAAACCUCACCAGGCCCGGACAUCAUAAGGAUUGACAGGUUGAGAGCUCUUUCUCGAUUUGAUGGGUGGUGGUGCAUGGCCGUUCUUAGUUGGUGGAGUGAUCUGUCUGGUUGAUUCCGAUAACGAACGAGACUCUACCUUACUAACUAGUCGGCGGAUCGUAACCCUGAGAUGGUUAGUUAGCAUAGGGGAGUAUUGCCUAGGUAUUGGUUUACUUCUUUCGGUAUAUCGUGGCGGGGGAUAAAAUUGGAUUAGCUUCACUGCGAAAUCUGGUUCCUUCGUUCUCGGUUGCUGGGAGGUGGUGGCUGUAUCGAAGCUUCUCUCCGAUUGCUACUACUGCUGGGGGCGUCCGUCGCAAUAUAUCUUCUUAGAAGGAUCAGCGGCGUAUAGCCGUACGAGAAAGAGCAAUAACAGGUCUGUGAUGCCCUUAGAUGUUCUGGGCCGCACGCGCGCUACAAUGUAAGGACCAGCGUGCUUUCCCCCUCCGAAAGGAGCGGGUAACCCGUUGAAAGCCCUACCCGAUUGGGAUUGGGGAUUGCAAAUAUUUCCCAUAAACGAGGAAUUCCCAGUAAGCGCGAGUCAUCAACUAGCGCUGAUUACGUCCCUGCCCUUUGUACACACCGCCCGUCGCUACUACCGAUUGAAUGAUUCAGUGAGGGCAUCGGACUGGCGCCUUCGGUUUUGAAACAUAGACCUUAGGCUGACGGAAAGAUGUCCGAACUCG
rnacentral:rRNA from 1 species